GGAGCUGGUCACAGGUAGAGUGAAGCUGGGCCUCUGGGAGGUGAAGUUUGCUCAACUCUUUGGUUUGGACGAAUAUUCCUGUUUCCCUCUACAAAGCAGGCUGUUGCCUGAAGUGAGAGGGCUGGCGGGGGGAACACAAAUAUUGGAUAAGCUAAGACUCCUGCGUACCACUGGGCAUUCCAACUGAUCUCCAGAUUAAACUACCUGGUACAAUUCUAGAAGAGAACUUUAACAUUGCCACACAUUGGGAAUCUCAGUGGAAAAUUUUCAUUUAGCAUUGCCUGUGUGUACAUGGGUGUGGAGCUACCUACUACAGAUGUGGAAGUUUCCAGUAAACGUAUCUUCAAUGAAAAGUGAUAUUUCCUUCCAGAGCACCUAUCAACUGCUACUAACUCCUUUUUAAGCAAUGGAUGCUGAAGAUCAUCUACCCCAUUGCUAUAGCAGGAUUUUAGUCAGCUUGAUAUUAUAUAGAUCUUAUUAUCCAAAUAACUGUACCUCAAAUAGGUCAUGUAUGUGGGUUAAAAUGGUGUCCGGCAUCUGCUCUGCCACAGGGCUAGGACUGCACAUGGAGGAGGACACUGCAAGUUUGACUGGUGUUGGGCUGUGAAAAGCCUCAGCACCCCACUCCAGAGGGAGGGG
ensembl:lincRNA Gm12130 predicted gene 12130